rnacentral:rRNA from 1 species
CAUAGCGACUAUCGUGGCAUAUCAAUAAGCGGAGGAAAAGAAACUAACAAGGAUUCCCCUAGUAACGGCGAGUGAAGCGGGAAGAGCUCAAAUUUGAAAUCUUAAAGGGUUUCCCUUUACGAAUUGUAGUUUAAAGAAGUGUUUUCUGUUGGAGUUUCGGUAAAAGUUCUUUGGAAUAGGACAUCAUAGAGGGUGAGAAUCCCGUAUUUGACCGUUACUUUCCAGCUGUGUGAUACACUUUCAAAGAGUCGGAUUGUUUGGGAAUGCAGUCCAAAAUGGGUGGUAAAUUUCAUCUAAAGCUAAAUAUUGGCGAGAGACCGAUAGCGAACAAGUACCGCGAGGGAAAGAUGAAAAGAACUUUGAAAAGAGAGUUAAACAGUUCGUGAAAUUGUCAAAGGGGAAGCGUUUGACACCAGUGUUGUUUAGUUGAAAAUCAAUUCAAUAAUUUUUGAUUCUGAGUAGUAUUGACUUCAUCAGCUUGCUGCUUUCUUCUCAGAAAUUAUUGAAUGCACUUUUCAGUUAACAAGUCAACAUCAAUUUCUUUUGUUGUAAAAGGGUAAGAGGAAGGUGGCUCCGCUUCGGCGUCAAGUGUUUAUAGCCUUUUAUCUCUGCAAUCGGAGAGAUUGAGGAUUAGCAGCGUAGACUCCUUCGGGGUUAGAUACACUUGUGCUAAGCUAUAGCCUUGUAUAGACAACUUGUUGACUAUGCUCAGUCAUGUAGCUUACUCGCUGAUGCUAUUUUACCUACGCUUAGGAUGUUGAUAGUCACAGCGUGUAC